UACGUAGGGUGCGAGCGUUAAUCGGAAUUACUGGGCGUAAAGGGCUCGUAGGCGGCCAACUAAGUCAGACGUGAAAUCCCUCGGCUUAACCGGGGAACUGCAUCUGAUACUGGAUGGCUUGAGUUCGGGAGAGGGAUGCGGAAUUCCAGGUGUAGCGGUGAAAUGCGUAGAUAUCUGGAGGAACACCGGUGGCGAAGGCGGCAUCCUGGACCGACACUGACGCUGAGGAGCGAAAGCCAGGGGAGCAAACGGGG
rnacentral:rRNA from 1 species